rnacentral:rRNA from 1 species
UCUGGUGGAUCCUGCCAAUAGUCAUAUGCUUGUAUCAAAGAUUAAGCCAUGCAUGUCUAAGUAUAAGCACUUUAUACAGCGAAACUGCGAAUGGCUCAUUAAAUCAGUUAUAAUUUACUUGAUAGUACCUAUUUACUUGGAAUAACCGAGGAAAAUCUUCAGCUAAUACAUGCUUACAUCCCUGACUGUUUGGAAAGGGAGUAUUUAUUAGAUAAAAAACCAAUGCCUUCGCACUUUUGGAUGAUUCAUAGUAACACUUCGAAUCGCAUGGCUCACGCCGGCGAUGGUUCAAUCAAAUUCUGCCCUAUCAACUUUCGAUGGUAGGAUAGAGGCCUACCAUGGUGGCAACGGGUAACGGGGAAUAAGGGUUCGAUUCCGGAGAGGGAGCCUGAGAAACGGCUACCACAUCCAAGGAAGGUAGCAGGCGCGCAAAUUACCCAAUCCUAAUUCAGGGAGGUAGUGACAAUAAAUAACGAUACAGGGCCCUUAUGGGUCUUGUAAUUGGAAUGAGUACAAUCUAAAUAUCUUAACGAGGAACCAGUGGAGGGCAAGUCAGGUGCCAGCAGCCGCGGUAAUUCCAGCUCCACUAGCGUAUAUUAAAGUUGUUGCAGUUAAAAAGCUCGUAGUUGAACUUUGGGGUGGGCGAGGGGGUCCGUCUAUGACGAGUACUCCUGAGCCUACUCUUUCCGUGGGGUUUUUCAUUUAUGGAAGAUCCCACAUUUUACUUUGAAUAAAUCAGAGUGCUCAAAGCAAGCCUUUGCCCGAAUGUUACAGCAUGGAAUAAUAGAAUAGGACGCUUGGUUCUAUUUUGUUGGUUUCUAGGACCAUCGUAAUGAUUAAUAGGGACGGUCGGGGGCAUCAGUAUUCAAUUGCCAGAGGUGAAAUUCUUGGACUUAUUGAAAGGUACUACUGCGAAAGCAUUUGCCAAGGACGUUUUCAUUAAUCAAGAACGAAAGUUAGGGAAUCGAAGAUGAUCAGAUACCGUCGUAGUCUUAACCAUAAACUGUGCCGAAUACCAAUGGGCUCGUGCUUUAUUAUUAGGCCGAGUCUGCGGGUUACGAGAAAUCAAAGUCUUUGGGUUCUGGGGGGGAGUAUGGGUCGCAAGGCUGAAACUUAAAGGAAUUGACGGAAGGGCACCACCAGGAGUGGAUCCUGCGGCUUAAUUUGACUCAACACGGGGAAACUCACUAGGUCCAGACACAAUACGUUACGAAAAUUUUUACCCACCCACAUCAUGCCUGCCCCUACGUUACGAAAAUUUUUACCCACCCACAUCAUGCCUGCCCCUAUACACCUCUCUCUACUACUCUCUGCUUACUACUCUAUGCUUACCCCUUUCUGCCUACUACUCUCUACCUACUACUCUAUGCUUACCACUUCCUACCUCAUAAUCUCUACCUACUACUCUAUGCUUACCACUUCCUAUCUAAUAAUCUCUA